UGCCAGCCGCCGCGGUAAGACAGAGGGUGCAAACGUUGCUCGGAAUUACUGGGCGUAAAGCGCACGUAGGCGGAUUCGCAAGUCAGAUGUGAAAUCCCCGGGCUCAACCUGGGAACUGCAUUUGAAACUGCGGAUCUAGAGUGGUGGAGAGGGAAGCGGAAUUCCCGGUGUAGAGGUGAAAUUCGUAGAUAUCGGGAGGAACACCAGUGGCGAAGGCGACUUUCUGGACCGAUACUGACGCUGAGACGCGAAAGCGUGGGGAGCAAACAGGAUUAGAUA
rnacentral:rRNA from 1 species